AGAGAUGUGUGAUGACGCAUAUCAAUAAGCGGAGGAAAAGAAACUAACAAGGAUUCCCUUAGUAACGGCGAGUGAAGCGGGAAGAGCUCAAAUUUGAAAUCUUCAAGGUUCUACCUUGACGAAUUGUAGUUUAUAGAAGUGUUUUCUGUUAGUAGAGUGGCAAAAGUUCUUUGGAAUAGGACAUCAUAGAGGGUGAGAAUCCCGUAUUUGGUCAUUCUUUCUAGCUUUGUGAUACACUUUCAACGAGUCGGAUUGUUUGGGAAUGCAGUCCAAAAUGGGUGGUAAAUUUCAUCUAAAGCUAAAUAUUGGCAAGAGACCGAUAGCGAACAAGUACCGUGAGGGAAAGAUGAAAAGAACUUUGAAAAGAGAGUUAAACAGUACGUGAAAUUGUCAAAAGGGAAGCGUUUGACACCAGUGUUGUUUUUCCGAAAAUCAAUUACGAAUGUUUUGUUUUUGAGGAGUUAUGACUUCAUCGGCUUGCUUCUCUCUUUACGAAACUUUCUUAAUGCACUUUUCGGUUAACAAGUCAACAUCAAUUUCUUUUGUUGUAAAAGAGGUCAUUGAGGAAGGUGGCUUUCUUUUCGGAGAAAGUGUUUAUAGCCUUUGGCUUCUGCAAUCGGAGAGAUUGAGGUCUGCAGCGUAGAUCCUUCGGGGUUAGAUACAUUUGAGCUAAGUUAUAGCUUUUCAUAGACAACUUGUUGACUAUGUUUAGUCUUGUAGCUUACUCGCUUAUGCUAUUUUACCUACGCUUAGGAUGUUGAAGAUGUAGCACAUCAU
rnacentral:rRNA from 1 species